rnacentral:rRNA from 1 species
GCUCUGACCGAGCAACGCCGCGUGAACGAUGAAGUACUUCGGUAUGUAAAGUUCUUUUAUUAAGGAAGAAAACAGCCCGGCGAACCGGGCUUUUGACGGUACUUAAGGAAUCAGCCCCGGCUAAUUAUGUGCCAGCAGCCGCGGUAAUACAUAAGGGGCGAGUGUUAUCCGGAAUUAUUGGGCGUAAAGGGUGCGUAGGCGGUGAAGUUAGUCAAUGGUGUAAUGGCAGCGCUUAACGGUGUCCGGCUAUUGAAACUGCUUCACUCGAGUGAGAUAGAGGCGAGUGGAAUUCCAUGUGUAGCGGUAAAAUGUGUAAAUAUAUGGAGGAACACCAGAGGCGUAGGCGGCUCGCUGGGUCUUGACUGACGCUGAGGCACGAAAGCGUGGGGAGCAAACAGGAUUAGAUACCCUGGUAGUCCACGCCGUAAACGAUGAGUACUAAGUGUCGGGUUCCCCCGGUACUGAAGUUAACACAUUAAGUACUCCGCCUGAGUAGUACGUACGCAAGUAUGAAACUUAAAGGAAUUGACGGGACUCCGCACAAGCGGUGGAUCAUGUUGUUUAAUUCGAAGAUACGCGAAAAACCUUACCAGGCCUUGACAUGUUCGUGCAAUGCAGUAGUAAUAUUGCGGAGGUUAUCACGAUCACAGGUGGUGCAUGGUUGUCGUCAGCUCGUGUCGUGAGAUGUUAGGUUAAGUCCUAAAACGAGCGAAACCCUUGUCAUUAGUUGCCAGCAUGUUAAGAUGGGGACUCUAACGAGACUGCCAGUGACAAACUGGAGGAAGGUGGGGAUUACGUCAAAUCAGCAUGCCCCUUAUGGCCUGGGCUACAAACGUGAUA